AAUUAAAGUCCCCACAUCCACAGGUCAGAUGAGCCACAACGUGCGCAGGUCACAACAGGUCACCACAUGCAGGUCGGAGGUCACACAGCCACCGUCCACAACCUGACCCCUAAGAGUGGAUACCAGCUGUCUGGAGUGGACACAGAAGUGGAUUCCUUACAGCAUCGGGACUCCCGUCAAGAUCUCGGUCACCCUCGGAGUCUCGUCACUGGCAACUUCCCGAGGAGCUGCGUCGGCGCGUCACACUCCACCUCCAAGCUAACCCAGGACUGUCCCAGGCUGAGCUGCAUGACAUAACCUAUACUAAGAUCGAACCCGCCUGCAACCUCAAGAUCAAGUACGGGUCACCCUAGCCUAGGAGACAGAGUAGCACUCGCCGAUCUAAGAGGCCUCAGCAUCACCAGACCUUGGGAGCAGCAGCAGCCCAGUGCCAACACCAGGCCACAAGACCCCAGGCUGCCCAGCCCACCGCCAGUGCCGGGGAUCUUCAGACCCGUCUCCAGCCUUAGGGAAUGGAGGGCGGAGGGCUGCAGUGGCGGUGGCGGCUAUAGUAAUGUGUCAGCAGUAUUUUUUUUCUGCCUCUUGGUGUGGUAGUCUUUCUUGGUGGUGAGUCCCAUCAGCCAGCGUCAGCCCUCUAUAGUGCAGGGAAAUGUUUAUAGUGGCGCCACCUUGCCUGGCUCACCUCUGAUCCCCUCUUUUAGAGAGAGAAUCUAGAGUCUGGGUUGACAGGCGUGCACCAGGACAGCAUGUGGGUAGUGUUGGGCCACUCAGCGGUGACUGAAAAAGACUGUCUGUUGUGGUGGGCGGGACCCAAACCCCCAUCUUGCACUGGUGGUCACUUUUUGUGUCAAUUAUUUAUUAUUAUUAUUACUAUUAUUAUUAUUAUUAUCUUUUUUAUGUCCUAGCCUAUAGCAGCAGCAGGCUUUGGUCAGUGGCCUGGUGGUGGGCCCGCGGUGUUUUCAGUGGCAGGGUUGUAAUUCCUGGGGCUGGAUAGAGAUUCCCAAAUAUCUUCUGCAUCGGCCUCCAAAUGCCCCGAAGAGUGCUGGGUUUUCAAAAAUUUCCCCCACCUGAGGAUGCCUUCUAGACCCCCAAAAUAUCCGCCAAAAUUAGUCCUGAGUGGUGGUGGUGGUGUUGAAAGUGUUAAUGACAGUGAUGAGAAGCAUUGUUAGGGGUGCUGGUGUGUAGUGAUGAAGUGGUGGUGAUGUCAGUCUGUGGUGGUGUUGAAAACUAGCCUCUUUUAAACGGUGAUGAGUGGUGGUGAACGGUGUUUACUGUAAUGGUGGUGAUGAAAAUUGGUGUUGAUAGCCUUUGUGGAGGUGUUGAUGGCAGUGGUGGUGAAAUAUAGGCAUUUUUAGAGGUUCUGGUGUUGAUGGUGGAGGUACUUGUGUUGGUGGUAAUGAAAAUUGGUGUUAUAGUCCUGGUGGUGAUGAUCUCUAUACCUAAUGGUGUUGUAAAUAUGCAUCUUUAGUGGUGUGGCAGUGUUGAAGGCAGUGGUGAUGAAAAAUCGGUGUCUAGUGGUGUUGUGUGGUGGAGGUGAAACAUGCAUCAACACCAUUUUUGUCCAUUCUAAAAUUUCAUGUAUAUCUAUUGCAGUUCAUUUUUAUUUUUAUAUAUUUUUAUUACUUCAACAGGAAAGGAAUGAAGAAAGAGAGAGACAGGAGAGGAUAAAAAUAGCUUAAUCUAUCUAUCCCACUCUAUUCUGCAAGGUGUACAAUAGGGAACAUUGUCUUUCAUUACACCCAGUCCUUCAGCUCUUAGGGAUGGCUCCAGAGUCCAGUCUUAGCAGUUAAGUCCCCAAAGUCUUGUUCGUGUUAUUUUAGUGCCAGUGAGUGUCUGCUUACAGUGCCAAAGUGACCCUUUCUGUCCCUU